rnacentral:misc_RNA from 1 species
GAUGAAGAAGGUAGUGAAAUGCGAUACGUAAUGUGAAUUGCAGAAUUCAGUGAAUCAUCGAGUCUUUGAACGCACAUUGCGCCCCCUGGUAUUCCGGGGGGCAUGCCUGUCCGAGCGUCAUUGCUGCCCUCAAGCACGGCUUGUGUGUUGGGCCUCCGUCCUCCUCCCGGGGGACGGGCCCGAAAGGCAGCGGCGGCACCGCGUCCGGUCCUCGAGCGUAUGGGGCUUCGUCACCCGCUCUUGUAGGCCCGGCCGGCGCUUGCCGACACAUCAAUCUUUUUUCCAGGUUGACCUCGGAUCAGGUAGGGAUACCCGCUGAACUUAAGCAUAUCAAUAAGCGGAGGA